UAAGAGGUCCAGCCUGCCCAGUGACAAAUGUUCAACGGCCGCGGUAUCCUAACCGUGCGAAGGUAGCGUAAUCACUUGUUCUUUAAAUGAGGACUAGUAUGAAUGGCACCACGAGGGUUGCACUGUCUCCUUCCCCUAAUCAAUGAAACUAAUCUUCCCGUGAAGAAGCGGGAGUUUAUCUAUAAGACGAGAAGACCCUAUGGAGCUUUAAAUUUCUCUUCAAACGCCAGACAUAAACCCUAAACAUCUUACACCAACCCGGCGCCAUGAAGAUGAAUUUUAGGUUGGGGUGACCACGGAGAACAAAACAACCUCCACGCUGAAUAGGCCUAAAACCUUGAACUAAGGACCACAGCCCGACGAACUAAAAAAUUAACACCCAUUGACCCA
rnacentral:rRNA from 1 species